UCAUCACCAAAGGAUGCAGUACU
rnacentral:misc_RNA from 1 species